ACACACAGAUUCGUCUCACCUAGAAGUCACGUUUCAUUUUAAUCUCCAAGCAGACAGCGCAGCAGCAAACCUGGGGCUGUGGAGUGGGGCCCCACACCCUCCGCCCACUCUCCCGCCCCCGUCCACGCCUAGACUGCAGGAAAGGGGUCUUCGCACACAAAGCCAGACCCCCAGGCGUGGGAAGAUGGAACCAGAACAAUUCGAACGAGCAGAGCAAAACAGAUCGGAAUUGCAGACUUCAGGUCGUGGCAGAGAAAACCAGCUGAGACAGGGCGCCACUUACUAGCUCUGAAAGUCUAGGAUAUUUUGCCACUGGAAGACCAGCAGACAAUGUCAUGACAACUCAAGAGGAUACAACAGGGCUGCAUCAAAAGACAAGUCUUUGGACCAUGUCAAGACCUGGAGCGAAGAAGGUUUCAGUAUCAACCUGACUUCUUUUGGAAGGAUCCCUUGGCCUCACGCUGGAGUGGGCACCUGCCCUAGCCCACAGAGCUGGAUUUCUCCCUUUCUUCAAUCACACAGGGAGCACCACUAUGCAAAGACCUCAUCACAUUCACAGCCGUCUCCGCAGAGCCUCGCACUGUGCUUGGCAUAUAGCAGGUGCUCAAUAAAUAUCUGCCAAAUGACUGAAUGCAUCUCGCUAGCCUCAGGAUGCCACCAGGCCCUGAGGGAGCCAGGAAGAUCAGAGGAAAGCUUUUGGAUUCCUGCCACACCUUACAUUAGCAACAUCUUCUCCGAGUCCUGACAGCCAGCCUCCUGGGACACCAUUCAAGCCAGCUGAAUUCCGGUCACCGCUUCACCUUGGAAAGGCAUCCGCAGCCCU
rnacentral:lncRNA from 10 species